UACGUAGGGUGCGAGCGUUGUCCGGAAUUACUGGGCGUAAAGAGCUCGUAGGUGGUUUGUCGCGUUGUUCUGAAAUUCCCUGGCUUAACUGGGGGGCGUGCGGGCGAUACGGGGCAGACUGGAGUACUGCAGGGGAGACUGGAAUUCCUGGUGUAGCGGUGGAAUGCGCAGAUAUCAGGAGGAACACCAAUGGCGAAGGCAGCUCACUGGGGACGGUAAUUGACGCU
rnacentral:rRNA from 1 species